GCUGAGAACUGUUCCUAAUCCAACAAUUAUUUUUCUGAUACAUUAUUCUCACUGAGUAUACCAUGACUAUGUACUCUAUAUAAUCAAUUUUACGAUUGCACUACAGUUGCAUAUAUUUAAGCUUGCUUCCCAUGUGUCUUUCAGCGUGACCCCCUUUGGCUUUUCCUUCGAGGUUCACUUCCUAGAUUGCCCCUAGCGAAAUUCCAUUCUAGCUUUUCCUAACAGCUUGUUUCCUUUACCCAUCAUCACUUAC
rnacentral:misc_RNA from 1 species